rnacentral:rRNA from 1 species
UACGUAGGGUGCAAGCGUUAAUCGGAAUUACUGGGCGUAAAGCGUGCGCAGGCGGUUAUGCAAGUCAGAUGUGAAAUCCCCGGGCUUAACCUGGGAACUGCAUUUGUGACUGCCUAGCUAGAGUACGGUAGAGGGGGAUGGAAUUCCGCGUGUAGCAGUGAAAUGCGUAGAUAUGCGGAGGAACACCGAUGGCGAAGGCAGGUCUCUGGGCUAUAACUGACGCUCAUGCACGAAAGCGUGGGGAGCAAACAGG